rnacentral:rRNA from 1 species
GCCAGACUCCUACGGGAGGCAGCAGUGGGGAAUAUUGCACAAUGGGGGAAACCCUGAUGCAGCAACGCCGCGUGAGUGAAGAAGUAUUUCGGUAUGUAAAGCUCUAUCAGCAGGGAAGAAAAUGACAGUACCUGAGUAAGAAGCCCCGGCUAACUACGUGCCAGCAGCCGCGGUAAUACGUAGGGGGCAAGCGUUAUCCGGAUUUACUGGGUGUAAAGGGAGCGUAGACGGCGAUACAAGUCUGAAGUGAAAGCCCGGGGCUCAACCCCGGGACUGCUUUGGAAACUGUGUUGCUGGAGUGCUGGAGAGGCAAGCGGAAUUCCUAGUGUAGCGGUGAAAUGCGUAGAUAUUAGGAGGAACACCAGUGGCGAAGGCGGCUUACUGGGCUGUAACUGACGUUGAGGCUCGAAAGCGUGGGGAGCAAACAGGAUUAGAUACCCGAGUA